UUCCUGCGCUGUGAUUGGCGAUGCCUAUAUUAGGCGAAGACCCAAUCCCAUAUAAAGGCAGGAUAGACUAUUCACAUGCAGUUUGACGGACUCCUCCCCACAGCCGGUUCGUCGACGCCAUGGCUACGGAAACACAGAAGAUCCACAGAAAGACCGCCAGCAGGUUUUCGGGGUGUAGAAGAGAGACCGAGUAUUUACCUCGUUUGCGUUUACAGGGAGUAUAGAAUUCGAAGAUUGCCCUUUUAGUGUCAUGAAGAUUUCGUAUUUUAUUUUGCUUUGUGAAACUGCGAGAAGUUGUUGCUGCGUAGGGACGAAUGUGAGUUGUCUGCGGUUUGCACGUGUAUCGCUCUUUGUCAUGCUGAGGUCCGUUCUUCUCGCAGACACUGGCGUGCCGGGCAUUGUGUAUGGGUUAUGGAAGAAAGCAUGCCUCACUGCGAGAAUAGACGCUUAUUUUGGGCGUUUGUUAGACAUCACAGGUAUAUGCAGUACUGUCUGAAAGGACGUCGACGGAGAAGGCAAGUGACACCGCCGGCACGGCCGACCCCAGCAUGACUGACGCAGCAGCCUUGUGAAUGAGCCGGACGUUCCAUAGCAGGGCACCAGUAACACUGUUUUUGACAGUGAGACUCACCAGGACAAGUCUGCGAUAUCUACGACCUUCUGGGAACGGGUAGGGAAAAUUGCCGACAACAGAGAAGAUAGAGUAGUUUCCUACGGGCGUAGGAUUUACAAGCCAAGCAGGAGCCUUUAUGAAGCGGUACAACGUUGUUCCAGUUUCCGCACGCUCGGAGCAGAGCCCGACCUUUUUUUAUCAAGAAAGAGUCGGAGGCUUCAACUUAUCACUGGUAGCUCUAUGGGUGAGUUACGUUGUUUGAAAGGCUUUAGACAGUAUUUGGUAUAGUUUUUUGUCUGCCUAUCACGUUUGUUGUUGUUGUUGUGGAAGGACUCGAACGUAUUGCCUUAUUUUACGUAUUUUCCUUUGUUUUUUUCUGUAUAUUUGCUUUGUUUAAUUUUGAAGUUAGGCUCGGCGAUUCUGGGCAUUGCAUUUUGUGGACCAGCCAGCAUUCAGCAACCCGAAAAGCUGAGGGACCAGGCCUCAAGACGCUCGGACAGCUGUCAACCACUGCGGCAGUUCUCCUAAGGAAGCAUUCAGUACAACGCGCGUGGGUGUGAUGCGAGGACGUCUGAAAAUACCACCUCAAGUUCAGCAACUUAGACCCACCAGCCAACUGAGAAGUACACGCAGCAAACCAUAUGGGAGGACGGCGUACAGGCAGGGAUGGUGGCCAAGCAAAGGGAUCAAGAAGUUUAAAACCAGACUUAAAAUUCAGAAACAGAGAGACAACAGCCCCAGAAUUUUUUACUCUCUCGUACGUUCGAAUUGUGACCUGAAUUAACAUUUUGCCUUAAAGUAACAGAGUAUGUUAGAGGGCGUCUGUUAAACGCUUUCUUCGUAAAAAAAAAAGAACAUCUAUACUGUCUUAGAGUUCACUGUAGGGAUGACCACUGUAUUUGCUUGUUUUUAAUUAGAACACAUCAACGUCAGAAGUUGUCCAGGAAGUGACAUAUUUUUCGUUGUAAUGUUGAGAAACAACUAGUUAUUAAAUCGGUUUGCUGUUUUCGUCUGUCUCCAUUUUCUUUACUUGGUAGUACGUUCCAGCGCUUAUGGUUUAUAAGUAAUUUGAAAAGGAGCAUGUUUAAUAUAAAGUGCCAUGGAUAAAUACAGGUUCGUGUAUCUUGGGUAGUAAUUUGUUGAUAACUUGACGAGGCACGAAAGUUAAAAGGCAGCAGUUAUUUUUGUCAUUUUAUCGAAACAUUUAGGCCAAAGUCUAAUUUUGUUUCGUAGGUAGAUCUGACAUGUUUAGCUGUAAUGAGUCCAAAGAUGACGCUAUAAAAGUUUCAGGUUAAUAUAGCCAGUAUUAAAAGAUCACUGCUUACUUUCUAACUGUCAGCCUUUAUUGGCACACACAGGGUUAAGGCUUAUUUAUAGAAGACAUGAAGGUUUUGCUGCACAUAAAAUAGAAUGUCUUCAAUUUAUCACAUAUGCUUUCCAACCUAGACCUAGUAAUAUAGGGUUGGCUACCCAGCGCAAAACGGCAUUGGCCAAAACUGGUUUCGUCAAGUAUGUAUCAAUUCAAGGGUUAGUGGAUUUUCCAGAGAGGUUGUUAUCAGUGAAAAGCUAGAACAGUAGUGAGGAGGACUCUAACACUUCAAUACAGAUUUUUUUGUUUAGAUACAAUUAUCCCAAUGUAUGUGACGUAGCUUGGUUUGCUAAACGGCAGUUGAAACAAAUAUUUGAAACCGAAUGUCGACAUUUUUUUUUUGUUUAUACCCGAGUUCUGAUAGGGAGAAAUGGGAUUAUAUUGGGUAUUUAUUCUUGCAAUAUGUCUGGGCCAUUUGUGUACGUCGAAUUUGGAGAGAUCCGUUAUACGAAAGUUACAUCUGCUGCGAUAAUAGACCAUUGUUACGUACCGUGUCUAUUCUAUUUAUGGGGUUGGAAGUAUAUUUGGAGUUUGCAACAUCUGACAGAGGACACUUCUAGUAGUUUUUAGAAGAGGACCGCCGGCGAUGCAAGAAAUAAAAAGUUUUA